UAACGUAGGGUGCAAGCGUUGUCCGGAAUCAUUGGGCGUAAAGCGCGCGUAGGUGGUCAUGUAAGUCCGCUGUGAAAAGUCAAAGGCUCAACCUUUGAAAGCCGGUGGAUACUGCAUGACUAGAGUACGGAAGAGGCGAGUGGAAUUCCUGGUGUAGCGGUGGAAUGCGCAGAUAUCAGGAGGAACACCAAUAGCGAAGGCAGCUCGCUGGGACGUUACUGACACUGAGGCGCGAAAGCGUGGGGGAGCGAACAGG
rnacentral:rRNA from 1 species